AACGAACGCUGGCGGCAUGCUUAACACAUGCAAGUCGAACGAGCCCUUCGGUUCUAGUGGCGCACGGGUGCGUACCGCGUGGGAACCUGCCCUUAGGUUCGGCAUACCUCCCCGAAAGGGGUGCUAUUACCGGAUAAUGUCUUCGGCCCAAAGAUUUUUCGCCUUUGGAUGGGCCCGCGUUGGAUUAGCUAGUUGGUAGGGUAAAAGCCUACCAAGGCGACGAUCCAUAGCUGGUCUGAGAGGAUGAUCAGCCACACUGGGACUGAGACACGGCCCAGACUCCUAAGGGAGGCAGCAGUAGGGAAUAUUGGACAAUGGGCGGAAGCCUGAUCCAGCAAUGCCGCGUGAGUGAUGAAGGCCUUAGGGUUGUAAAGCUCUUUUACCCGGGAUGAUAAUGACAGUACCGGGAGAAUAAGCGCCGGCUAACUCCGUG
rnacentral:rRNA from 1 species